UACGUAGGGGGCUAGCGUUGUCCGGAAUCAUUGGGCGUAAAGCGCGUGUAGGCGGCCCGGUAAGUCCGCUGUGAAAGUCGGGGGCUCAACCCUCGAAUGCCGGUGGAUACUGUCGGGCUCGAGUGCGGAAGAGGCGAGUGGAAUUCCUGGUGUAGCGGUGAAAUGCGCAGAUAUCAGGAGGAACACCGGUGGCGAAGGCGACAUCCUGGACCGGUAUUGACGCUGAGGCGCGAAAGCCAGGGGAGCGAACAGG
rnacentral:rRNA from 1 species